CCUACGGGAGGCAGCAGUGAGGAAUAUUGGUCAAUGGGCGUAAGCCUGAACCAGCCAAGUCGCGUGAGGGAUGAAGGUUCUAUGGAUUGUAAACCUCUUUUGUAAGGGAACAAAGUGAGGGACGUGUCCCGUUUUGUAUGUACCUUAUGAAUAAGGAUCGGCUAACUCCGUGCCAGCAGCCGCGGUAAUACGGAGGAUCCGAGCGUUAUCCGGAUUUAUUGGGGUUAAAGGGUGCGUAGGCGGACUUGUAAGUCAGCGGUGAAAGGCUGGGGCUCAACCACAGGAUUGCCGUUGAAACUGGGUGGCUGGAGUGUCUGAGAGGCAGGCGGAAUGCGUGGUGUAGCGGUGAAAUGCUUAGAUAUCACGCAGAACCCCGAUUGCGAAGGCAGCAUGCCGGGCGAUGACUGACGCUGAGGCACGAAAGCGUGGGGAUCAAACAGGAUUAGAUACCCUUGUAGUC
rnacentral:rRNA from 1 species